rnacentral:rRNA from 1 species
AGCGAACGCUGGCGGCAGGCCUAACACAUGCAAGUCGAACGAACUCUUCGGAGUUAGUGGCGGACGGGUGAGUAACACGUGGGAACGUGCCUUUAGGCUCGGAAUAACUCAGGGAAACUUGUGCUAAUACCGAAUGUGCCCUUCGGGGGAAAGAUUUAUCGCCUUUGGAGCGGCCCGCGUCUGAUUAGCUAGUUGGGGAGGUAAAGGCUCACCAAGGCGACGAUCAGUAGCUGGUCUGAGAGGAUGAUCAGCCACAUUGGGACUGAGACACGGCCCAAACUCCUACGGGAGGCAGCAGAGGGGAAUCUUGCGCAAUGGGCGAAAGCCUGACGCAGCCAUGCCGCGUGAAUGAUGAAGGUCUUAGGAUUGUAAAAUUCUUUCACCGGGGACGAUAAUGACGGUACCCGGAGAAGAAGCCCCGGCUAACUUCGUG